rnacentral:rRNA from 1 species
UAGGGAAUCUUCGGCAAUGGGGGCAACCCUGACCGAGCAACGCCGCGUGAGUGAAGAAGGUUUUCGGAUCGUAAAGCUCUGUUGUAAGUCAAGAACGAGUGUGAGAGUGGAAAGUUCACACUGUGACGGUAGCUUACCAGAAAGGGACGGCUAACUACGUGCCAGCAGCCGCGGUAAUACGUAGGUCCCGAGCGUUGUCCGGAUUUAUUGGGCGUAAAGCGAGCGCAGGCGGUUUGAUAAGUCUGAAGUUAAAGGCUGUGGCUCAACCAUAGUUCGCUUUGGAAACUGUCAAACUUGAGUGCAGAAGGGGAGAGUGGAAUUCCAUGUGUAGCGGUGAAAUGCGUAGAUAUAUGGAGGAACACCGGUGGCGAAGGCGGCUACCUGGUCUGCAAUUGACGCUGAGACUCGAAAGCAUGGGUAGCGAACAGGAUUAGAUACCCUGGUAGUCCAUGCCGUAACGAUGAGUGCUAGGUGUUGGAGGGUUUCCGCCCUUCAGUGCCGGAGCUAACGCAUUAAGCACUCCGCCUGGGGAGUACGACCGCAAGGUU